CUACACACACAUGGUAACACUCAAACUCAAAGAAUAUUGCAGAUUUACACCAAAAAACAGUUAUACAUAUACAAUUCAUUAUUUACUGAAACAGAGAGAAAGUAAAGAUUACAGCUUUAAGGUCAUAGGUGAGGCAGAACACUCCAUAACACUCUUUCUUCGUCUUCACAAAGGUCAUAGGUGAGGCAGAACACUCCAUAAUACUCUUUCUUCGUCUUCACCGACCCAUUAUCUUGAACCGCUACAGGGGCUUGGUUA
rnacentral:lncRNA from 1 species